rnacentral:rRNA from 1 species
UACGAAGGGGGCUAGCGUUGUUCGGAAUCACUGGGCGUAAAGGGCGCGUAGGCGGCUUUGUAAGUCAGAUGUGAAAGCCCCGGGCUCAACCUGGGAACUGCGUUUGAAACUGCAAGGCUAGAGUAUGGGAGAGGGAGGUAGAAUUCCACGUGUAGCAGUGAAAUGCGUAGAGAUGUGGAGGAAUACCGAUGGCGAAGGCAGCCCCCUGGGUCGACACUGACGCUCAUGCACGAAAGGCGUGGGGAGCAAACGAGG